rnacentral:rRNA from 1 species
ACGGGAGGCAGCAGUGAGGAAUAUUGGUCAAUGGGCGCAAGCCUGAACCAGCCAAGUCGCGUGAAGGAAGACGGCCCUACGGGUUGUAAACUUCUUUUAUACAGGGAUAAAGUCAGUUACGUGUAGCUGUUUGCAUGUACUGUAUGAAUAAGGAUCGGCUAACUCCGUGCCAGCAGCCGCGGUAAUACGGAGGAUCCGAGCGUUAUCCGGAUUUAUUGGGUUUAAAGGGUGCGUAGGCGGGCCCUUAAGUCAGCGGUGAAAUCCUGCGGCUCAACCGUAGGACUGCCGUUGAAACUGGGGGUCUUGAGUGCAAGUGAGGUAAGCGGAAUGUGUAAUGUAGCGGUGAAAUGCAUAGAUAUUACACAGAACACCGAUUGCGAAGGCAGCUUACUGGUAUGUAACUGACGCUGAGGCACGAAAGCGCGGGUAUCGAACAGGAUUAGAUACCCUGGUA